rnacentral:rRNA from 1 species
GAUGAACGCUGGCGGCGUGCUUAACACAUGCAAGUCGAACGGUGAACGAGGGAGCUUGCUCCCUCCGGAUCAGUGGCGAACGGGUGAGUAGCACGUGAGCAAUCUGCCCUGGACUCUGGGAUAAGCGUUGGAAACGACGUCUAAUACCGGAUACGAGGCGUGGGGGCAUCCCCAACGCCUGGAAAGAACUUCGGUCCAGGAUGAGCUCGCGGCCUAUCAGCUAGUUGGUGAGGGAACGGCUCACCAAGGCGACGACGGGUAGCCGGCCUGAGAGGGUGACCGGCCACACUGGGACUGAGACACGGCCCAGAAUCCUACGGGAGGCAGCAGUGGGGAAUAUUGCACAAUGGGCGCAAGCCUGAUGCAGCAACGCCGCGUGAGGGACGACGGCCUUCGGGUUGUAAACCUCUUUUAGCAGGGAAGAAGCGAAAGUGACGGUACCUGCAGAAAAAGCACCGGCUAACUACGUGCCAGCCGCCGCGGUAACAC